AAAAAGGCAAACCCUGGGUUUCCGUGUCCAACUUUAACUGUCCGUCUUAUAUGAAAUUUUUUUAUAAUUCGUAUUUUCAUUGUUGUUAGAUGAUAAAAUAUGAUUAAUAUUUUAUGCGUGACUUGUCUUUUUAAAUUUUUUUUAUAUUUUUUUCAAAUAAGACGAACGGUCAAACGUUGGGCACGGAAAUCAGGGUUUGUCUUUUU
rnacentral:pre_miRNA from 1 species